UUUUUUUCUUUCUGUCACCCUCUACAAUAUUUAUCGACAACUCUCCUCAAGUUUUGCUUACACAUUGAGGACUCCGUGAUCGUAGAUGUAAUCUAUUAUCUCAGUUGUGAUCAUCGCUUAAGGUUGCAAGGAUUGUCGGGAAGACUUGGAUGGAUGGUUCGAGGGAUUAAAGACGCACAUGGAUUUUCUUUAAAAGGAGGGAUGUUUUGA
rnacentral:lncRNA from 1 species